GAUAAACGCUGGCGGCGUGCCUAACACAUGCAAGUCGUACGUCCUGUGUCCUUCGGGACGCAGGGAGUGGCGGACGGGUGAGUAACGCGUGGGUACCUACCCUGGGGUGAGGAAUACCGGCGAGAAAUCGCCGACAAGACCGCAUAGGCUCCUUCUUCAGUGAGGGAGCAAAGCUCUUUUCGGAGAGCGCCCGAGGAUGGGCCUGCGUCCGAUUAGCUGGUUGGUGGGGUAAUGGCCUACCAAGGCGACGAUCGGUCGCUGGUCUGAGAGGAUGAUC
rnacentral:rRNA from 1 species